rnacentral:lncRNA from 1 species
GUUGCUUGUCUAGUGAAGAGGACCUUGUAUUACAGCUAGGGGUGUAAACGAGCCGAGCUACUCGAGAUUGGCUAGUAAAAAGCUCGAAACAAGCCGGGCUUAAUUCAACCCAUUUAGUUUUCCAGGUAGAAGAAGCUCAGCAGAAAUGGCGUGUGGCGUUUACUAAAACGAAAAACAAGCUGAAAAUUGCAUUUUCUAAACAGUAAAAGAGGCGAACAUAGAAGAAAUCAGGUGAGUAGUGUCUGGUUAUGUUUUGUAACAGGCAUGAUGCACUGAUGCAGACUGUUAUAACUUUUCUUAUUCCGAUGCACUGAUGAAGGCAUGAUAAGCAAUCCAGCUUAACAAAGGAAACACGUACGUCUUUAGUCAACUAGUUAUUUAGUACUUCCUCUCUAACAGUCUCUUUUUGUGUUCGUUUUUAUUUCUCAGGGGCGCAGUGGUGGUGAUGUCUAUGGAGCUUACGGUAGUUGUUCUUCUGGAUGCAGUGGUAGUGCUGGGGGUUCAAGGCACAUCCCUGCUUCUAGAAGGCAGGGUUAUAAUUACUGAAGAUGAAGCCUGAAGCCAGCCUAAACAACCAGAAGACCUGUUGAACCGAACCGGUUAUGGCCCACCUUAAGAGGACAACUGAACCAGAAGACCAUGUCCCGACACUAUUUUACCAAGGUGAAGGAAAUUCAGCUUACUAGAGGCAUUGAAAAAACCACCUAAUGCUUGGUGAAGGGCUUAAAAUGUUGUGAAAAGAAGUUAUAUACAACCGUUGGUACUGGCUAGAAGAAACCUUUGGAAACCUGAGUACGAAACUGGAUAUUCAACUCUGGUUUUGUUGCAGGUUUGAUGACGUUGUUUCGUCGACGAUUUUAUGGCGGCAACGCGAUCUGCAGAUAUGUUUUGGCCUUGUAUUAACACGAUUUGCAGAUCUAUUUUUGAAACCCAAGUCUUGAAUACUAGUAGGUCCUAAAGUUAUGAAAUUUUUGUAAUUAACAACAGCCACGUUAAAGUGCUUAAUAAGAUUCUUGUUUAAUGCAGUAGAUAUAGGUUUAGGGUUAAUGCUUAUUGGAUUA